AUUGAACGCUGGCGGCAGGCCUAACACAUGCAAGUCGAGCGGAUGAAGGGAGCUUGCUCCUGGAUUCAGCGGCGGACGGGUGAGUAAUGCCUAGGAAUCUGCCUGGUAGUGGGGGAUAACGUCCGGAAACGGGCGCUAAUACCGCAUACGUCCUGAGGGAGAAAGUGGGGGAUCUUCGGACCUCACGCUAUCUGAUGAGCCUAGGUCGGAUUAGCUAGUUGGUGGGGUAAAGGCCUACCAAGGCGACGAUCCGUAGCUGGUCUGAGAGGAUGAUCAGUCACACUGGAACUGAGACACGGUCCAGACUCCUACGGGAGGCAGCAGUGGGGAAUAUUGGGCAAUGGGCGAAAGCCUGAUCCAGCCAUGCCGCGUGUGUGAAGAAGGUCUUCGGAUUGUAAAGCACUUUAAGUUGGGAGGAAGGGCAGUAAGUUAAUACCUUGCUGUUUUGACGUUACCAACAGAAUAAGCACCGGCUAACUUCGUG
rnacentral:rRNA from 1 species